CUUUCGGGCUUCUUCUGGGCGGGGUGACCUGAGGCGACCCCAGAAGUACCCUUCGAGUCGAGAGAGCAGCCCCAGGCCGUCUCCGCCAUGUAGCCCCCCUCCCUCCAGGACCCGGAUGCCUCCCCACCCCUGGCACCAUCACCGGCCAAAAAGAGAGUACCCCCCUCUCCCCGUUGGAAUCCGCCUCCCCAAGUGACCUUGAGAUCUGUCGUCGAUCUCAGGAAGCACUUGCUAAGGAGAGUGGGGGAUCAUUGGGGAAUCCGAGAAAGUGGACACCCCGGAAGGACGGGAGCCGCCCCGAAUCGUCUCCUUGGCCAGGACAGAGGGUUGUGAACCCGCCUGGGGAUGAGGCCUGGUGUGGAAACUGAACUUAGCUUCGCGGGGCUGACAGUUCUGGCCCAGGGCGGUAUGUAAUUCUGGCUCGGCCUGGGACAGGGUCCAGCCAGGCCCAGCUGGGUGGAACCCAGGUCUGGGUGUGAGGGUGGUCUAGGGAGUGAUGGAGGUCAGGUGCCAUCCUGAGCGGUUACUGGUAUGGCGCCUCGUGUAUCUGACAGGCGGGAGCUGUAGGCAGACAAAAUUGACGCCCCGUUUAUUUUCCAGGUGGCAGUGCACCCCUUUGGACUUCUCCUCUAGGUUCCGUGCUUACCUCUUCUGUGACCUCAUUCUGCCUCUCCUCCUCCCUCUAACUCUCUCGAGGUUACUCCUUCACUUAAAACGUUGCUUCUGGUAAUCUGCUGAGCCGGGAAAGUUGCUGGAGUCCCUGCCGGAGUCGGUAUUGUCGGUAAUCCCGAAGGAGGAGAGGCGUCCCCAGCGGAGACUCUGGUGUUCAUCAUGGCAAGCUGAUGGCACCAGGAGAGAUGGAGCCCUUGGCCAGAGUGAGUCGUAGCAGUGCAGGAGGGGAGACCCUGGCGGAGGAGAGCGAGAGCCCGCCUAAAUUGAUGUCUACAGAUUGAAUUUCCAGAGGCUUAGGAGGAGGAGUUCUCCAAUGUCCUGUUUCCAGGCCUUGCUCAGGAAGCCCUGUAUUCAUUCAGGAGACCAUCCUUUAAGGUUUUCAGAGGAGCUUAUGAGGGGGCAAUCUUUUAAAAGUCCAAAGCAGCUGCAGACGGGGCCUUCAGCAGAUGUGGUGCUUUGAGUAUGUAAUCCGGGAGCAGCGAUCUCUGGGCACGUGAAUUGCCAGCAGGCACCUCUCCUGUUCUGGGGUGGAGGUUUUCAGAUGCUGCAUCUUCUAAACUCAGCCUCCUGUUGUACUAGUUCUGUGCUACGAACCUUGCUUCCAGAGGACUCUUAAGCUGUAGAACGUUUUAACGCGAUGCCACAACACAGAGUGCUGCCUUGUAGA